GCGCCUCGAUGCAAGUGCGCAGCAAUGUUCCGGGCGCGAGCAGCGUGUGCUUUAUUUGUGUCUUUUCGACUUUUGUGCGGUUGACCAUGGCCCAACUAGAAAGUACUGGCUUUCUAUCUUGAAUCCGGUGGCCCCAGAAGCAGGUGCUGGCAACCAGGCCAUGCACUUUUGGUCAUUAAUUAGUGUGUGAUACUACGUCUUACUAAUCAGUUUUAUUAUUUUUAAUUAUAAUUGUGGCACUGUGCCUACUCGUUACUUGUGUUUUAAUAAAGUUUAAUUUUCAAGAAUCUGUUUUUGAUUACGCGUUUUUUUUUAGAUCCGCGUUCAACCUGUUUGUAUACAGCGAGAACAUGUAAUGAAUAAUUUCAUACAUGUGCGUGGCUGGAGGCCGAUCAUUUUUGUAAUAAAGCUUUAUCAGUUGUAUAAAUAAAAAAGUAACAUUGGUAUGA